CUCCAAUAUUGGAAGCUAGAUUAACAAACAAUAUCCCAGCCAGUUAAGUGCCAUUACUUUUAGUUUCCAUAGAAUUUGUUUUAUAGUUAAAAUCUUCUUUCUUACCUCUUAAGUUUUUUUUCCCUUAUUAGAUCUACGGUCUACUUUCUUAAUAACUGCAGGCGUAUGGGGAAGACACAGCGGUGGGGAAUUCAAAGGAAAUAUGGAUCCAUGUUUUGACCAAAAUGGUCUGCCUAGCUAUUUAAUUUGUAGAUAUUGCUUUAUAAUUGGCGCUAAAUCUCCAGCUCUAGUUUCUAAUUAAGAGAUAAGGACUUUGAUCAUGAGUAGCAUGAGCAAGAUGCUUGAUUCACAGGGCCUCUAUUAUCCUCUUGAUUUUACUCUUAAUUUCAGUUGAAACGACUCCAGUAUUAUUGGAAGCCGAAGCGAACAUCCCAGCCAAUCAAGUAGUACCAAAGACGACAAGAUUCCACGGCAAGUUUGGAGACAAUAAAAUCGGUGGUGGCCAACAUCAUUCUCCAAGUGCCAGACAGUUCAAUUAUGUGCCACCGCCUCUGGCCGCUCGUCUCAUGUGAAAGCCAUGCCAUUAGCCAUAUAUGUUCCCUUUCUUUUUUGGCGGGGUUUUUGAGUAUUAUAUAUCUAUCUAUUACUAUAUAUAAAAGCCAAGUUCGACAUU